AUUGGUUGACCAAUGAUUGAUUAAUGCUUCUACACCAAGAGGUCUGGGGUUCGAGUCCCAGAUAUUGCGAUUUAUUAACAAAUUUGCAGAUUAAUGGAGGCAAGUGUGCAAGAGAUCUCCAACGAUGUACAAUUAUAGCCGUUCGCCAGGAUUUUAAGCAGAGAAGGAAGUGUCGCCAGGUCGUGGAUCAUUGAAGGUAUUCAUCAAGAUCACGAAGAAGGAAGUGUAGUCUGUCGUGAAUCUAGUAAAGGUCGGAAGGAAUUGUCAGUUGUAGAAUCGUUUAUGUAACAGUUCUUAUAAUUUGCAAUUAAUAAUAAAUUUAGACGAC
rnacentral:lncRNA from 1 species